CCGCCGCCGAGCCAGGAGGGCGAACAAAGAAGUCGGGAUGGCUGCGUGCCACAUCAUCUGGCCAAUAAAUAAGCAGGAUAAGAGGGCGUUGUCCGGCCCCGGGCGCGAGAUCGGCACGCGUGACGCGCAGCUGCGCGGCGCCAUUGAUUCUCCGCCGCUCCUUUCCACCCGGGCCGCCUGCCAAGUGCCUCCGAACAGGAACCCCUGCUCUCGCGACGUCUGCUUAAGCGCAAUCAAUGGGCCAUCAGCGGGAGGCGGCGCGGGGUGGGGAUGGGGGGCUCGGAAGGCGCGCGGCUUAUUUGCCUCGCCAAGAGCGAGCGCUUGCUCGGGCUGUCGCGAAGAUGCCGGCUCAAAGGCCUCGCGCGCCGAGCCCCG